UACGGAGGGGGCUAGCGUUGUUCGGAAUUACUGGGCGUAAAGGGCGCGUAGGCGGCGAUUCAAGUCAGGCGUGAAAGGCCUGGGCUCAACCCGGGAACUGCGUUUGAUACUGGAUUGCUGGAGUCCGGGAGAGGAUGGCGGAAUUCCCAGUGUAGAGGUGAAAUUCGUAGAUAUUCGGAGGAACACCAGUGGCGAAGGCGGCUCACUGGCUCGAUACUGACGCUGAGGUGCGAAAGCGUGGGGAGCAAACAGG
rnacentral:rRNA from 1 species